rnacentral:lncRNA from 1 species
CAGCAGCUCAGAUCUAAAUCCUAGAUAUGCAGAUUGGUUUCCAGCACAGCCUGUGCUGUGUAUAAAUCCUGGAUCAAACAGGCUAAUCACUGUUAAUCACUGCUAAUCAGCAUGAUGGGGCUUGUAGACCUUUGCAGUCCUAUUUACCGGCUAGGGGGGACAAACUGCCGGUUCAGUGGUCAACCCAAGAACCUGAAAAGCAACAGAACAACCUGUACCUUAGAUCUACGGUGAUGAAAGCCUGAGCUACGAUCCUGGAUCACAAGGACACCAGGUGUACCCAGACUGGAACAACAGUGCUGUUACAGUCGCCUGCCCCAGGUGCAGUGUGGGAAACCUGCUGCUUUGAAGGAUGCCUUAUUCUGGAUUUGGGGAGUCUAAAGCAGCUAGGCCAAGCCAGCUCUCACCUGGUCGGUCUGAUUUACCCCUUGGAGCAAUCAGUGGAUCAGUUCCUGUUGGCUGGCUGUACAGGGAAAGGGCUAAGGCCAGCAGCCGUCCGGAGACGAAGCUGGACGACCUUGCAUCCUCUGCUCUGCUGCUUGUCACAACAGAUGAGAGACGCGGAAGGGAGGGAUGUGGCUGGAUGACAUAACAGAACACCAGAGCUUAAGAGAGAGUGUGUUAGAGAGAAGAAAUAAACUGUGUAAGCUGCCAGCA